AACCAACGAGACUCUGGCAUGCUAACUAGUUACGUGACCCCCGAGCGGUCGGCGUCCCCCAACUUCUUAGAGGGACAAGUGGCCUUCAGCCACCCGAAAUUGAGCAAUAACAGAUCUGUGAUGCCCUUAGAUGUCCGGGACUGCACGCGCGCUACACUGACUGGCUCAGCGUGUGCCUACCCUACGUGGCAGAGGCGGGUAACCUGUUGAACCUCAUUCGUGAUGGGGAUGGGGGAUUGCAAUUAUUCCCCAUGAAGGAGGAAUUUCCAGUAAGUGCGGGUCAUAAGCUUGCC
rnacentral:lncRNA from 1 species